rnacentral:misc_RNA from 1 species
AUCUGUAUCGCAAUUGCGAUCCCAUAAUCCGCCGUUUUCGAGACUAAAUUAAACGGGCGCAAGAGAGAGUACUUAUAUGGACCGAGC